UACGGAGGGAGCUAGCGUUGUUCGGAAUUACUGGGCGUAAAGCGCACGUAGGCGGUUAUUCAAGUCAAAGGUGAAAGCCCGGGGCUCAACUCCGGAACUGCCUUUGAAACUAGAUAACUUGAAUCCAGGAGAGGUGAGUGGAAUUCCGAGUGUAGAGGUGAAAUUCGUAGAUAUUCGGAAGAACACCAGUGGCGAAGGCGGCUCACUGGACUGGUAUUGACGCUGAGGUGCGAAAGCGUGGGGAGCAAACAGG
rnacentral:rRNA from 1 species